GACGAACGCUGGCGGCGUGCUUAACACAUGCAAGUCGAACGGAAAGGCCCUGCUUGCAGGGUACUCGAGUGGCGAACGGGUGAGUAACACGUGGGUGAUCUGCCCUGCACUUCGGGAUAAGCUUGGGAAACUGGGUCUAAUACCGGAUAGGAGCCAUCUUUAGUGUGGUGGUUGGAAAGUUUUUUCGGUGUAGGAUGAGCUCGCGGCCUAUCAGCUUGUUGGUGGGGUAAUGGCCUACCAAGGCGGCGACGGGUAGCCGGCCUGAGAGGGUGUACGGCCACAUUGGGACUGAGAUACGGGCCAGACUCCGACGGGAGGCAGCAGUGGGGAAUAUUGCACAAUGGGCGCAAGCCUGAGGCAGCGACGCCGCGUGGGGGAUGAAGGCCUUCGGGUUGUAAACUCCUUUCGCUAGGGACGAAGCUUUUUUGUGACGGUACCUAGAUAAGAAGCACCGGCUAACUACGUG
rnacentral:rRNA from 1 species